UACUGCUACAGAUGAAGCUUCUUCAUGUUUAUCUCUGUGCGUAGAGAAUAUUGCAGCAAAUGUUUUGUCAUUGCUAAGCUUAACUUUCAGUGCCUGCAUUCUGGUUAUUGGGGCUUCCAAGAUUCUUGGAAGGAUUAUGAGACAGUUGAAGAUUAUGAUAAGCCUAGCUCAUCUUUGAAUGAUUUGUUUGAUAGAAAACUGGAUCUGGAUUUUAACAUUAAGAUGAAACCUUCUCAAGUCUCCCAGGUUUCCGAUUGUCAGAUCUUAGAUGGUCCUCAGAUCUUAAAUGAAAUAAAUGAUCCCAAUUUUUCUUUGAAACGUAUGUUGUUGGAUCCAAGUCAAGCAUCAGAAACUGCUAGGAGGAACAAUUUGGGUCGGCAUAACAUCUGUAAGUCUAGCAAUCUGCCAGAGGACAUUAUAGGUGAAGUUAUAGGCUUCACUUGUAGUCAGCAUCAGGUAAGGAAAUCUAUUCUGUACCUAAAUCUUCAUCCUUCCCUUUGGUGCCUGAGAUGGAAAACAAUUCCAUAGGGAAGUCUAAAAUUGCAAGAAGAUUGUCAUUUGGUAAAAGCAGUCACCCCACUUUCACAACAGCUACUGAGGUCAAAUCUGGACAGAGUUUACAAUUUGGAUUGGCAUAACAUCAGAUCUAUUUUCUGGUAAACAUCUGAGACACAGUUUACAAGGAACUAAUGACCUUCCAGGUACUGAUUAUAAAAAAGGCAAGUUCCCUUUAGAGCACCGCAAUGACCUCUUAGAGAAGGUUUUAGAACAGAGAUUUUCAGAUUCCAAAGGCUUGCCAUUCAUUCAGCAAAUGCACAAAAAGGUUCGCCCUGGACAAUGGAAUUUAUGAACAGAAUCAGGGAACAGAGAAGGUUGCGGCAGUAUUCCCUUCCAUGUGAUACAGUUGCCCCAUGCUUUGGGGUUUCAGGGAAUACCUCAAAAGUUAGUAAGAGAAGAAGUCCAUCUAUUCUUGAAUUUUUCAAGUACUGAGGAGGCAGGACUCCUAAGAUUUUACCAAAACAAAAGAUGCAAAAGCGAUCUAUACAAUCAUCAAGCUCUUCUAAGAACAAAAUGCCUUCAACUUCAUAUCUUCAUAUAUGGGCUCCUAUUGACAAGAGAACAAGACAGAUUCUGGCUUUUGCUACUAAUGAAAAUGGCUGCCAAACUAAGUUGGUGUGGAGUGAAGGAAGUGCUUAGGAUCUGAGAAAAAGUUGCAGAGGCAAUAAAUGGAGUGGGAACAAGAUCAGUGCCCUGUAUAAGUACUCAGAUCAUUUUGAAUGAAGUUAUAAUUUGGUUCUUUUCAGAACAUAAUAUUUAACUUCUUAUUGAAGUUCCAUGCCUGCAGUUGCAAGUGUUAGCUUAUCAGAGUCACCUGCGACAGUUGUUUGAAGUGUCUAUCUAAGACUCCUAUAAGUAAGCUCAAAUAUCACUAACUUUUGCCCUGUUUAUGCCAAAUAUAUCGAAUUAACUUGACUGAAGUUCGUAGUCAUAUCUAAGAGAGAUUGGCAAACAGAUUCAUUGUUGACACUUUGAAAUGAAUUUUCUAGAACGGAAUGAAUA